GAUUCACAGGUGGAAAUUCAAGUGAAGAAGCUUUACUGCAUCAGCAAGGCAGUUCCUGCCUUACCUAUUAACAUUGAGGAUGCUGCACGCGGUGAAAUUGAAAUUGAAAAGGCUUUACAGGCUGGAAAAUAGCUUGUUCGUGUCAAUCAGGAUACCCGUUUGAAUUUCAGGGUUCUUGACCUGCGUACUCCUACUAACCAAGGAAUAUUUCGCGUUCAGUGCCAAGUUGAAAAUAUAUUCAGGCAGUUCUUGCUAGCUGAUGGCUUUGUUGGGAUUCAUACCCCAAAGUU